AGUCGAACGGUUGCCAGCAAUGGCAAUAGUGGCGCACGGGUGCGUAACGCGUAACCAACCUACCCGAAUCUGGGGGAUAGCCCGCCGAAAGGCGGAUUAAUACCGCAUAAAACUGCAGGACGGCAUCGUUCAACAGUUAAAGAUUUAUUGGAUUCGGAUGGGGUUGCGUGCCAUUAGCUAGUUGGGGGGGUAACGGCCCACCAAGGCGACGAUGGCUAGGGGAGCUGAGAGGCUGGUCCCCCACACGGGCACUGAGAUACGGGCCCGACUCCUACGGGAGGCAGCAGUAGGGAAUAUUGGGCAAUGGUCGAGAGACUGACCCAGCCAUGCCGCGUGCAGGAUGAAGGCUUUCUGAGUCGUAAACUGCUUUUGCCAGGGAAGAAAAAAGGGGAUGCGUCCUCUACUGACGGUACCUGGUGAAUAAGCACCGGCUAACUCCGUGCCAGCAGCCGCGGUAAUACGGAGGGUGCAAGCGUUGUCCGGAUUUAUUGGGUUUAAAGGGUGCGUAGGCGGCUUUUUAAGUCUGGGGUGAAAGCCCGUUGCUCAACAACGGAACUGCCCUGGAAACUGGAGAGCUUGAGUACAGACGAGGGUGGCGGAAUGGAUACUGUAGCGGUGAAAUGCAUAGAUAGUAUCCAGAACCCCGAUUGCGAAGGC
rnacentral:rRNA from 1 species